CCUAAAGUGCAUGGUCAUGGCAAUAUGAAUGAUGAAAAGGUAUUUUCAUAAGAUUUCACAUCAGACUCGAAUUGAUUGAUUCUAAUAUAUAAUGGAGAUGAGGUUUGAGGAGUUAUCCUUAGCCUCUAUCCUGUUAGGACUCAUGAUAGAAGAACCGAAUCACAUGAUAGCUAUAUCUAGAGAUUCAUUUUUUCAGUUCUACUAGCUUACCACUACACAUUUUAGAUGUCACUGAUAGACUGUGAGAGCUUGCUGAAAUAAUUCUGGAUCGAUGAUCCUUGAUGGGUGUGAGUUGAAAUUAUUCUAGCUCAUUGAAAGAGGUUUCAAUGAUACUACGAUGG
rnacentral:lncRNA from 1 species